rnacentral:rRNA from 1 species
AACGAACGCUGGCGGCAUGCCUAACACAUGCAAGUCGAACGAGACCUUCGGGUCUAGUGGCGCACGGGUGCGUAACGCGUGGGAACCUGCCCUUAGGUUCGGAAUAACUCCCCGAAAGGGGUGCUAAUACCGGAUAAUGUCUUCGGACCAAAGAUUUAUCGCCUUUGGAUGGGCCCGCGUUGGAUUAGCUAGUUGGUAGGGUAAAAGCCUACCAAGGCGACGAUCCAUAGCUGGUCUGAGAGGAUGAUCAGCCACACUGGGACUGAGACACUGCCCAGACUCCUACGGGAGGCAGCAGUGGGGAAUAUUGGACAAUGGGCGAAAGCCUGAUCCAGCAAUGCCGCGUGAGUGAUGAAGGCCUUAGGGUUGUAAAGCUCUUUUACCCGGGAUGAUAAUGACAGUACCGGGAGAAUAAGCUCCGGCUAACUCCGUG